UACGUAGGCAGCGAGCGUUGUUCGGAGUUACUGGGCGUAAAGGGUGUGUAGGCGGUUUUCUAAGUUUGGUGUGAAAUCUCCCGGCUCAACCGGGAGGGUGCGCCGAAAACUGGGAGACUAGAGUGCGGGAUGGGAGAGUAGAAUUCCUGGUGUAGCGGUGAAAUGCGUAGAUAUCAGGAGGAAUACCGGUGGUGUAGACGGCUCUCUGGACCGCCACUGACGCUGAGGCACGAAGGCCAGGGGAGCAAACGGG
rnacentral:rRNA from 1 species